GAUUCGAAGAAAAGAAGGCCCGGACGGAAACGCCCGGGCCUUUUUCUUUUCGCGUUCGAUUUUUCUCUUUCGAU
rnacentral:misc_RNA from 1 species